rnacentral:rRNA from 1 species
UACAGAGGGUGCGAGCGUUGUUCGGAAUUACUGGGCGUAAAGGGCGCGUAGGCGGCUAGAUGUGUCAAAGGUGAAAUCCCUCGGCUCAACUGAGGAACUGCCUUUGAAACUGUCUGGCUUGAGGCCGGGAGAGGGUAGCGGAAUUCCCAGUGUAGCGGUGAAAUGCGUAGAUAUUGGGAGGAACACCAGUGGCGAAGGCGGCUACCUGGACCGGUUCUGACGCUGAGGCGCGAAAGCGUGGGUAGCAAACAGG